GACCCAGUGGUGCAUGGCGCACACCCACCGAAGAUGCUAAUGUUCAUUGAUAUGGUUGAUGGGAGCCCCCGUUCGAUUCGGGGCUGGGUCA